CCCGCCGCCCCGCCGCCCGCUCCGGCCCGGCCCAGCCCCUGGGGCGGACAAGGGGGUUCACGGGGGGUGACAGAGCAGGGGUGCCGCGGGGCGGGAGGGCUGGCAGCCCCGGGUCCGGCGGUGCGCGCCCGCCUGCGUGCGUCUCCUGUGCCCUCGGCCGGUGCCGGACCCCGCGCGGGCCUCCGGGCCCAGACCGCCGCCCCGCCGGCUCCCGGGCCGACGCUCCGGGGGCAGACCCGAGGCUCUCGGGUCCUGAAAGACAAGAUCUACCGUCUUUUUAAGAAUGCAGGUCUCCUUGUCUCCCGGUUUGAUGGACAUCCGGGUUGUUUCUCGGAUGUUUCGAUAAAACUCCCAUUAACAUUCCUGUGUACGUCUUGGAAUAACACCCAGUGCUCAUCCCGUCAAGUGCCCCCCUCCCAGUAUAUUCCUCAGCCAUUAGAAACGACAAAUACCCACCAUUUGCUUCGACGUGGAUGGAACUGGAGGGUAUUAUGCUGAGUGAAGUGGGCUCCAUGUCCAACAUGGGCCUUGAACUCAGGAUCCUGAGACCAAGAGUCAAAGGCUCUACCAACUGAGCCAGCCAGGCACCCCUAUAUUUUCUAUUCAUAUCCUUUAUCAGAUAUGGGUGUUGUAAACACUUCUUCACAGGAUGUGGCUUCUAUGUUUAAAAUAAUGGUGCUGAGGAUCUGUGGGUGGCUCCAGGGUUUAGCGCCUGCCUGAGGCCCCGGGUGUGAUCCUGGAGCUGCGGGAUCGAGUACCACAUCAGGCUCCCUGCAUGGAGCCUGCUUCUCCCUCUGCCUGUGUCUCUGCCUCUCUCUGUCUCUCACAAAUAAAUAGAUAAAAUCUUUAAAAAAAUAAAAUAAUGGUGCUUUUUAA